rnacentral:rRNA from 1 species
AUUGAACGCUGGCGGCAGGCCUAACACAUGCAAGUCGAACGAGUGGCGGACGGGCGAGUAAUGUCUGGGAAACUGCCUGAUGGAGGGGGAUAUCUACUGGAAACGGUAGCUACUACCGCAUACCAUCAGAUGUGCCCAGAUGGGAUUAGCUGGUUGGUGGGGUAACGACUCACCAAGGCGACGAUCCCUAGCUGGUCUGAGAGGAUGACCAGCCACGCUGGAACUGAUACACGGUCCAGACUCCUACGGAAGGCAGAAGUGGGGAAUAUUGCACAUUUGGCGCAAGCCUGAUGCAGCCAUGCCGCGUGUAUGAAGAAGGCCUUCGGGUUGUAAAGUACUUUCAGCAGGGAGGCGUUACCCGCAGAAGAAGCACCGGCUAACUCCGUGCCAGCAGCCGCGGUAAUUC